UUUUAGAGUUUUUGCCUGGGUCAGAGUGUACGCUGGGGGCAGGCCUAUCACAUGCAAAACGAGCGGCAGCGGGAAGUAGCCUGGCACUUUGCUGGCGAGCGGCGGACGGGUGAGUAAUGUCUGGGAAACUGCCUGAUGGAGGGGGAUAACUACUGGAAACGGUAGCUAAUACCGCAUAACGUCGCAAGACCAAAGAGGGGGACCUUCGGGCCUCUUGCCAUCAGAUGUGCCCAGAUGGGAUUAGCUAGUAGGUGGGGUAAUGGCUCACCUAGGCGACGAUCCCUAGCUGGUCUGAGAGGAUGACCAGCCACACUGGAACUGAGACACGGUCCAGACUCCUACGGGAGGCAGCAGUGGGGAAUAUUGCACAAUGGGCGCAAGCCUGAUGCAGCCAUGCCGCGUGUAUGAAGAAGGCCUUCGGGUUGUAAAGUACUUUCAGCGGGGAGGAAGGUGGUGAGGUUAAUAACCUCAGCAAUUGACGUUACCCGCAGAAGAAGCACGGGCUACCU
rnacentral:rRNA from 1 species